UUCUCCACUUGCUAUGACCUCAGAACCAAGCCUUGAACCUCCGCCCACAUGACCUGCCCCGCUUGGUCCAUCCCCUUCUUUCCCAUGAUCAGUGUGGUGAUGGGAGUGGUGGGAGGGAGAGGAGAGGUGGAGGAGGAGAGUAUGGUGGAUGGGUGGGAGGAGGAAGAGAGAGGAGUGCUGGAGAGAGGAAGAGAGAAGGUACCGGAUGAGGUAAUAGCAGAAACAGUAGUUAAACAGUAACUGAGGGAAGAGGAAGUAUAGUUGUGGUGGGUCGUCAAUGGAAGAUGGAAGAGUGGUGGUUCCUCCCUGGCUGGUGCCUAGCCCCCCUGCUCCUGCGCGCGUUGCUUCCUAGAUGUAAUUAGGCAGAUUUUCAUUUAUGUUUCGCAUCCUGAACGCUAUUACGUAGCUGAGAGGCGUUGGAAUCUUCCGAGGCUCCUCCAGCAGGCUGCUUCCUGACGCAUCUCUCGGCAGAACCUUUCAGAAGUGAGUCACGGUACUUUAUAAAGGAAGCGGUCUUGAUUCCGAGUUAAUUGGAGUUGUGGAGUUAGCCUGACUGAGGGAAGAAUAAACCCGACAUGCUCCGCGAAGCCUUUCUCUCUCGGCGGGCUAAUUAGUGGAUCCUGACUACGAGGCGGAAGGAAGAGGAACUAUAUACGGAAUGUUUCGCUAAUAUUCAAGUCUACGUAGACCUGAACCGAAUCAAGGUCUAGUCACCGAAUCAUCUGCGCGAGUGCAUGCGAAUCAGGAAACUGCACCGAUACAAAGAAGGACUCGAGCGGCUGCCUAUCUUAUCUCCCGCCUGUCCGCCCCUCACCUGCUGCUUGCCGCCAAUUAUCACCAGCCCUCUACAAACAACCACUCUUGCAGUUCGGCAAACGAGUGCUGAACAACUACCGCCACCACCACCACCUCCCCCUCCCCGCCGUGGUGCUGAUUACCACAACACCCUCACUCCCAUCCGCUCUCGCACAGACACAAGGCACAGGCACAAGAGUACACAAGAGUACUGCCUUCCCGACCAUUGUUAACCUGAUCAAUAAAACAAACGUGUAAUACAAAUGUAAAAGAAAGAAAAAAUUCCAUCCAGCCUGACUACCUGUAAGCAUUCAGUUAUGUAAGAGUGUCAUUUUCUUUACCUUCACUCUGUUAACUUGAUGUGCUCUUCUUUAUUUCAUUUUAUUUCAUUUUAGUUUUUUUUUUUAGUUUAUUUUACUUCUAAUGUUUUUAUUUUAUUGUUCAUGUUUUUUUUUUCUUAACUCCUUGUUUUCCUUGUAACUUCUCAGCCGGAAGACUGUUCGUCUUAAAUAAACCGUUAAUUAUUAUUGUU